rnacentral:rRNA from 1 species
UACGUAGGGGGCUAGCGUUGUCCGGAAUCAUUGGGCGUAAAGCGCGUGUAGGCGGUCCGGUAAGUCCGCUGUGAAAGUCGAGGGCUCAACCCUCGAAUGCCGGUGGAUACUGUCGGGCUUGAGUACGGGAGAGGCGAGUGGAAUUCCUGGUGUAGCGGUGAAAUGCGCAGAUAUCAGGAGGAACACCGAUUGCGAAGGCAGCUCUCUGGGACGGUACUGACGCUGAGACGCGAAAGCGUGGGGAGCGAACAGG